UGUGGCACGUGUUAAUCAUAAAACUUGUUCACUCCGCGCAAUGCGGUUCGAACGAAUCGUGGCUGUAUCUUCGAAUCGUAAUUAUCGGUCGCACCGUCCCGGUGGUCCUGCGGAUGCGCCCGGGCAACUGGGCCCUUCAGCUUCGGGCCAGACCAAUCGGGACUCGAGUCCCUCUUGGCAAUCGGGGUGCGGAGGUAUCUAAGAUCGCUUUAUUACCAACCGCGUGGAACGAACGGACAGUAUUCUUCGGUACUGGUAUACGGGCUUCUUGGUUCUUUCGUUUCUCUUCUACUUCAUGCAUUUCAACGUGUAUUAUCCCUUCGCAUGCGAGCACCUGUGCAGCGGAAACUCCGUGCGUUGUAACCUAUGCAUCUGUGCAGGUGUCAAACACACCUUCCGAUUUAUUAAACCUGCCGUAAGUGUCGCUAAUAUCUAUAUUCGACUGUGGAUUCAGUAGUUGUGUGUGGUGAGUCUGGCUGAAACCUGGAAGAGGGAAAUCAGCUCUUCCACGACCCACAUGACGAGGGUCGAAAGUGAAUGCAACUCCACCUAUAAACGACGGAGCCAAAAUCCUUCCGGUGCAACGUUCUCACCUACCAAUAUUUUCACGGUUGUAAAGCAUACCUCCGCUGCAGAUUUAUGCAAGCACACACACAAACGUAAGCGCACCUUCAUGCAUAUGGGAGGCGCGUGUGUCCUACGCAGUAUGCAAAUGGUCGACCGGCGGCGUGCGCCGAGCUCAGCGACACAUAACCAUAACCAUCGUAUGGAAACGGAGUGAAGGAAGAUGAAGGAGCCUUGCCACUCUAAAGAAAGGAUCACUUUGUAUAGAGUAGUCGUCGGGGGCUGCUGUUGAAUGGAAUGGACGACGGUAGGUAAUACCACUCAGCUACUCGACUACCGCAUCGCCACUGAUCCCGGCACGAGCCACGCUGCUUCAGCUGCUGCACCUUGCGCUCGCGUUUUUGGGGAAGAAAAUGGGGAAAAGGUCUUUUCACCGUUCUGCCGGGGAUUCCUGAGCCGGGAGAAAACGAGGCGAAGAAAGAAAAAAAAACACACACACACAACAAC